UCCAUUCUGGAGGGCUGGAGCUUUGCGGGGCACCUUCACACUCGCCCAGCUGGUGCUUCCCUGGCUGGGGAGGGCGGGCAGGGCUCGGGGCUUGGCCGGCAGCCCCUGGGGAGGUGCAUACUCGCCUCCUGGCUCCUUCCUGGCAUGGUCCCGGCAGCGGGAGGCAGCUGCACCAGGCCGGAGGAGGGGCUCAGAAAGCAAACGCAAGCAACAGCAAUGAGAGGGACUUGCCGCGGGGUGGUGCUCUCGGACCUCAUUUGAAAGGAUUGGGAGCCGGCUCUUUCAGGCAACUUCCCUUUUCGUUGGACUUCUGUUAAAUUGUCUGCAAAACCCACAGGAGGACAUCUGAAAUGAGAUACAGCAUUGCUGAAAUUUAUCACAGCUUUCAUGUUCUGUUUCCCAAGACUACUCUCCCCUCCUCCUCGAGCUCCUCCUCGUUCUCCUCCACCUUUGUCAUCCGUCAUCACCUUUUAACUUUCAUUGUUUUAGAGAGGAGGAAACUGAGGCAUUUUCCUGACAGUCUUUGAAAGAAAGAGAAAAAUCAAACAAAGAGAAUGCCCGUUUCAUUCACCUCAUAAGAAACAGGAUUUCAUUAGUCUUAUUUUAAGGAUUGGCCAUAGGAUUGUGGAGGCUGCUGGUCUGAAAUCUGCAGGGUGAUUUGCAGGCUGGAGAUCCAGUGAGGGGCUGGUGUUGCAGCUCGAGGCCGAGGGCCACCCUCUGGCAGAGCUCCCUCUUCUCCAAGGCACCUCAGCCUUUUUUCUAUGAAGGCCUUCAGCUGAUUGGCUGAGAUCCACCACGUCCCAAACGGUAACCUGCUUUACUCCAACUCUACUGAUCUAAGUGUUAAUCUCACCUAGAAAGUACUUUCACAGAAACAGCUAGAACAAUCUUUGGCCAAAUGUCUGGGUACUGUGGCCUUGGCGAAUUGACACAUAAAGUGAGCCAUCCCAGGGGCCGUAAGCAAUGGCGCCCCCAAAGGAAGGCUCCGUGAAUGUGCAGGAGAGCAAAAUCCUUGAUGUGAGACCUGAGCGGAAAGUUGAGCAGGUGCAGCUUCAAGAAAGGAGGCUGAGACCGGCAGGCUUGUCUGUGUGGAGGAGAAGCAUUUGCAGAUGGUGCGUGUACACAGAGCAACACCUGCAGAAAUGCAGGGAGGUCACAGGUGAACGAGGUAGUGUCAUGAAAACCUCAGUCCUUCCCCUAUGGAUGUGUGAACGGGAUGCCACCUAAAUAGAAUUUCUAAAGAGAUGUUUUCCAUUUUCUUUUUUGAAAUAAAAAGAAGUAUUUAAAUUCA